UACGAAGGGGGCUAGCGUUGUUCGGAAUUACUGGGCGUAAAGCGCGCGCAGGCGGUUUUCCAAGUCCGUGGUGAAAGCCCGGAGCUCAACUCCGGAACUGCCAUUGAAACUGGCGAACUUGAGUACGAGAGAGGUGAGUGGAAUUCCCAGUGUAGAGGUGAAAUUCGUAGAUAUUGGGAAGAACACCGGUGGCGAAGGCGGCUCACUGGCUCGUAACUGACGCUCAGGCGCGACAGCGUGGGGAUCAAACAGG
rnacentral:rRNA from 1 species